rnacentral:rRNA from 1 species
GGCGAACGCUGGCGGCAGGCCUAACACAUGCAAGUCGAACGGUAACAGGCCGCAAGGUGCUGACGAGUGGCGAACGGGUGAGUAAUGCAUCGGAACGUGCCCAGUCGUGGGGGAUAACGCAGCGAAAGCUGUGCUAAUACCGCAUACGAUCUGUGGAUGAAAGCGGGGGACCGAAAGGCCUCGCGCGAUUGGAGCGGCCGAUGUCAGAUUAGGUAGUUGGUGGGGUAAAGGCUCACCAAGCCAACGAUCUGUAGCUGGUCUGAGAGGACGACCAGCCACACUGGGACUGAGACACGGCCCAGACUCCUACGGGAGGCAGCAGUGGGGAAUUUUGGACAAUGGGCGCAAGCCUGAUCCAGCAAUGCCGCGUGCAGGAAGAAGGCCUUCGGGUUGUAAACUGCUUUUGUACGGAGCGAAAAGGCUCUCUCUAAUACAGGGGGCUCAUGACGGUACCGUAAGAAUAAGCACCGGCUAACUACGUGCCAGCCGCCGCAGUAA